rnacentral:rRNA from 1 species
GGUACCAUCAGUCCCCCCGACCUAUUGAUCGGGAGUAUUUUUUCCCACUUAACAGAGCUUUACGACCCGAAAGCCUUCCUCACUCACGCGGCGUUGCUGCGUCAGGGUUUCCCCCAUUGCGCAAAGUUCCUCA